CCAAAGGCUCUUUUCAGAGCCACUAAGAUUUCAAAAUUAGAGCUUU
rfam:Rattus norvegicus chromosome 17, whole genome shotgun sequence.